GCAGCCGCCACGGGAAUACAGAGGGUGCGAGCGUUAAUCGGAUUUACUGGGCGUAAAGCGUGCGUAGGCGGCUUCUUAAGUCGGAUGUGAAAUCCCUGAGCUUAACUUAGGAAUUGCAUUCGAUACUGGGAAGCUAGAGUAUGGGAGAGGAUGGUAGAAUUCCAGGUGUAGCGGUGAAAUGCGUAGAGAUCUGGAGGAAUACCGAUGGCGAAGGCAGCCAUCUGGCCUAAUACUGACGCUGAGGUACGAAAGCAUGGGGAGCAAACAGGAUUAGAUACCCCGGUAGUCCCUGUCUCUUAUAC
rnacentral:rRNA from 1 species